rnacentral:rRNA from 1 species
CCUACGGGAGGCUGCAGUGAGGAAUAUUGGUCAAUGGGCGCUCUCCUGCCCCCGCCCCGUCGCGUUAAGGAUGACUGCUCUAUGGUUUGUAAACUUCUUUUAUAUGGGAAUACAGUGCAGUAUGUAUACUUCUUUGCAUGUACCUUAUGAAUAAGGAUAGACUAACUCCAUGCCAGCAGCCGCGGUCAUACGGAGGAUCCGAGCGUUAUCCGGAUUGAUUGGGUGUAAAGGGAGCGUAGGCGGGGUGGUAAGUCAGUUGUGAAAGUUUGGGGCUCAACCCUAAAAUUGCAGUUGAUACUGGACUUCUUGAGGACAGUAGAGGUAGGCGGAAUUCGUGGUGUAGCGGUGAAAUGCGUAGAGAUCAGGAAGAACACCGAGUGCGAAGGCAGACUGCUGGACAGUAACUGACGCUGAUGCUCGAAAGUGUGGGUAGCAAACAGGAUUAGAUACCCGUGUAGUC